ACUUUCCUUUACGUGCAAAGCGCUUUCUCGCAUCCGAAGUGCGCGGACGGGAACCUUCCAGAAAAUCGGAGGCUGAUUCGGCGAAUUGGUGAUCGCUUUGCGCAUAUUGAGUGCGUGGGCGCCGAUAAUUGGGCGCUGAUAUCGAAAAACGCCAGUGCGUUUAUCGUUGUCGCGCAUGAUACUGCGCGUAUGCGCGGAUUACGCUAAUGGCGCGUUACGUCAAUGUACGAGUUAGAUAAAACUUACUUUACUUAACUUAACUUACUUAGGCGCAAUUCCGAUCAAGCCGCCCGCCUCGUGUAGUGAAACGGACGACAUAUCUCACCUUUGCGCGCAUUAGUUGCGAUGACUGCGCCGCGGUGUUCGCUGGUGUGUAUCUGUACAAGAAUUUUGCGCCACAGUUACAUAGUGCGUUUUGAUAUGUGUUGUGGAAUGUCAUGAAUGAGUUAGUGUGUGUGUAGUGAAUGGUAAUGAAUGAAGCGUGUAAUCGUGUUCUUGUUUAGUAUUAUAAAUUGUGAGUGUGCACGUGUGUUAUGUCGAUUUCAUCCUGCGUACGGAUCGGAAGCAGGACGAGCUUCGCAAUCGAUCGCUUGAAUUCCGACCGUGCAAACCACGCGGACGAGUCCGUUGGCGCAGGAAUGGACUGCGGUUAUCCUUGGCCAUUCCUUGGCGGUGUAGUCUCGUGUAGAAGCAGACACAAUUAUCCAGAUGUAAACGACGCUAGUUUUUGUCACUUUGGUCUGGCGAUUAAUUCUUGGAGAUAUUUUUUGUCUAGCGCGUCCAAAAGUGCUCCCUCAUCUGCUGCAGCAGUUUCCAGCGUGACAGACGUGCUUCAGGAAUAUCGUGCAGUAAAGGCUUCGGAAAUGCGGUGAUUGAUGCGCCGAUGAGUAAAUGAAGAGUGCCAAUAAGUCUUCAGUGUCAUCUGUUAGCGAACAUAGAAGUCUUGAGUUAAGGCAUGCCUCAACCUGUGACAGCAUUGUGUCUUCUUGUAGAUGAAUGUAGUGUCUCCUAUUACUCUCCGUAAGUGGUGUUUUGUGGUUUUAACCGCUUCCCACAGGCCGCCAAAGUGAAGAGCUGCAGGUGGAUUAAACCUCCACUACACUCUGCUAUUCUCUAUGUCCGCCAUGUUCUCAGGAUCAUCAAGUGUACAGUUUGAAUCCAGCAAAUUUAGCGCUUCUCGGUGUCUCCUGGAGUUCAUAGCGGUGAGAUGAUGACAGAGAUUCCUGUUUUGUCCUGUGACUCUUGCUGUCUCCGAAGUGCCACUUCCAGCUCCGUAGCCGUUGUCGCUGCUAUUGUCACCACCGAUUGCUUAACCUUGCAGUCCGUUGGCGUGUCUGCUGGUGGCUCAAGCGUCCCUGUUGUGGCAUUGCAAAGGAAGGCAAGUCUCACCACAACCAGUAAUCCUCAAGGUCCCUUGGAUAAAGAUUUUGCGAUGCAGAGUCAACUGAAUUGUUGUCGCCCGAGAGAUGAUUCCAGCGUGCAUCAGGUGUCAGCCGCUGGAUUUCGGCAACUCUGUUCGCCACGAAGUGUUCCACUUGGAUAGGUGAUCGUGAAUCCAUCCCAGUGUUACCAUGGAGUCUGUCCACAGAAAUGUCGGCGUUGUCUAGAGUUUGAGUACCGCGCAAAUCCGUGCGGAUGCGUCUCUGGCAAAUCAAUGCCAGAGUGUUAAUCUAUUGUUCCUUUGGUCAGCAUCCUUCGAAUCUUGAUUUGAGUGAACACAGGGCGUCAAUCAUCCAAGUCGUAAAGCUGCGCGGUCUGUGAUAAGAUGGUCCUUUUGAUAAUGGCGUCAUCUUCCAGUAGUUUGACAGUGAAUGCAAAGUUGUCUUCCACCGGAUUCUAGUGAAGUCCCAGGAUGGAGUGACUAAUAUCCUCUAGUUUCCACGACCGCGUGUCGCACUGCAUUCAAUCCCUCUCAGCACGUCCACAUAUACAUCGUUGAGGAUCACUGUUGAUCUCAUCAGAAAUCUGAAGGCUUUACCACGGGCCAGCUGUGGAGUGAUCGCACUGCAAGGAACAGAGCGCAUGCUAGUCCAUCCCUGUCAUCCUCGUGGAAGAGUAUCUAUCUGUACAUCUUCUCGAUGUCGGCAGCUACCACGAAUCGAUCCAUCGCCAGCGCAAGAGGAUGUCACCCAAGGCUAGCAGUAAAUUUUUCCCAUCAGGAGGUGCUCGUUGAGUGACGUGCCUGAAGGAAUGGUUCAUGAGUCAUGAAUACGACCCUCAAUCGUGUGGACAUGCUGGACUCCUCUAGUACCUCAUGGUGAGCUUACAGAAUUGCGCAUCUUUCUGAAACUUCCUCUCGCUGCGAAGGAGCGAUCAAAUUGCUGCCACUCGUGUCUCGGUGAAGUCUGGAAACAUUGGUCGCCAUCUGGAAGACGGACCACAUAGCGACCAUCCGCGGUUCUUGUGUGUAUUGCAAUCUGGAAUCCUUGCGCAUUCCGUCGCACAAGAUGCUGGUGUAAUCGACUCCCAGCAGCACAUCAUUGCAGUCCGGCGAAGCGAGGUCUGGAUCUGCGAGCUCGAGACAUUGGAUGUGCGAUUGGCACGUCCGAUGAGGCCAAAUAUCUUGUGAGGCGCGGCAGAAUAAGAGCUGACGUCUUCACGGUGAUCCUCCCAACUUGCGGCCACACUGAUGGAGACACGGCCUCUUGCAACGCCUGUUGCUGAUUUCUGACGCCAAACAUUGCAACAGAGGUAUGUUGACGUGGAAGUCUCAACCGUUAAACCAGUUUCUUCGUGAUAAUGAUAGCCUCUGAUCGUUGGUCGAUCAACGCUCUUGCAAGUUUCCGUAUCGGUCGGCGAUUCGGACACGUGCUGUUGUCAAGAGCACGAACAUGCAGCGUUAUGCUGUGCGCAACGUGUGACAUCCUCACAGCGUCUUCAUUCAUCGGAGCCUUCCGGAAUGCGUUAUGGAGUGAGCAGUUCGCGCAGAAGUGAUUGAUGCCCACGAACUGUCGGCGAUCUUAAGCAGACUUGCUCCUGAACUCGCUGCACAUCAUGAGUGCAUGGUCUCCUUUGCAGAGAAGGCACCGCGCGGAUCCGGGAUCUCGCUUCUGCUGCACAUGCUUACCUUGAGGUAAUGGAGUUUCUCUACCUCACUGAUACUGCUAUCCUUUCCAAUGAUGGAUUGGAAUAGAUCUCGGAAAGCGGGCCAGAUCUCGUACUUUCCUGAAAAUUGCGGUAGCUGUAUCCUGGAUAGCGUGGUUCGCGGAGACAACGAAUCGGUCCUUAUCGUAGCGGAUGUAGCAGUCACACUUGGCUGAGCCAGACACGCGAUGUAAUUCAGAAGCCCUUUUGCCUGAGGUAAGUUUCUUCCACAAUACCGACAUAAUCCUUCCUAAUGUAGUCCGUUUUUUGUCGCCUCCCUGUGGACCGUGCGGAGAGUCUCGUGCUGAGUCUCAAAUUUGGACCAACAACUAUUCAAAACUCGCUAAACGAGACUGAAUGGCGUCCACCCAUGGAGGAUAUUCUCGCGAAGAAUCGUGGAACCAGCGCACUAAGACACUCACUACACUCACAGUCGUCACGUGGAAGCAAUCCGACAGAUCCGGCUCGAAAGACCAAAAAUGUUCGAGAAUGAGGCGAGAACUAGGAUUCUCGAAAAAUCACAUGAGAUUUUAACAAGAAUACAAAUUUAAUUAAUAAUAAGAAAAUGUCUAUAAAAAUAAAUCAAAUGCACAAUACAAAAAUCGUAUCCGUCUAAAAUUAGCCGAAAUUCAAAUAUAUCUUAUUUUCAGAAAGGCAAAGCUGUGACGUGACUAUACCCGAGAUAAUAGAGCGACUGCGAUAAGUCUCUUUGUCUCCCGUGCCUUUUUAUCAGCUCCGACUUUUUAGAAAGUUCCUCCAUGUCGAUAAUUGUGCGCUGAUAUCGGAAGGUGCCAGUGCGUCUAUCACACGUUGUCGCGCAUGAUAUCGCUCGUGUGCGCG